AAGUCGUAACAAGGUUUCCGUAGGUGAACCUGCGGAAGGAUCAUUACCAUAUCCAAAAUUUAUCAACCCACUGUGUGAACCGUUUUUCGAGGGAGACUAGAGAAAAAGACUUUUUCUUCUUUUUUUUAAUGGUCUUUUUUCUUGGAAAAUACUCGUGUUAUUUGGGGGGAAGGCUCGUAACUGAGUUGGAACCCCAUUAGCAUUUUUUCUGAGUGGAAGGCUAUUUCUGAUGGGAAGGUAAAGGUCUUUUUUCUGUAGCUCUUCCAAACAAAAAUUAACACCUUGUCAAACCAAAGCUCUUUUUUUUUCAAAAAAAAGCAUACUAACUUGAUUUUUUGUGGCAACACAAGGAACCAUUAAAACAAAACCAAUAGACAACUUACAACGGUGGAUCUCUUGGCUCGU
rnacentral:misc_RNA from 1 species